rnacentral:rRNA from 1 species
GCCGCGUGCAGGAUGACUGCCCUAUGGGUUGUAAACUGCUUUUAUACGGGAAGAAACCCACCUACGUGUAGGUGGCUGACGGUACCGUAAGAAUAAGGACCGGCUAACUCCGUGCCAGCAGCCGCGGUAAUACGGAGGGUCCGAGCGUUAUCCGGAAUCAUUGGGUUUAAAGGGUCCGUAGGCGGGCCGUUAAGUCAGGGGUGAAAGUCUGCGGCUCAACCGUAGAAUUGCCUUUGAUACUGGCGGUCUUGAGUCAUGGUGGGGUUGCCGGAACAUGUGGUGUAGCGGUGAAAUGCAUAGAUAUCACAUAGAACACCGAUCGCGAAGGCAGGUGACCAACCAUGUACUGACGCUGAUGGACGAAAGCGUGGGUAGCGAACGGGAUUAGAUACCCCGGUAGUCCACGCCGUAAACGAUGGAUACUAGCUGUGGGGACUUCGGUCUCCGUGGCCAAGCGAAAGUGAUAAGUAUCCCACCUGGGGAGUACGUUCGCAAGAAUGAAACUCAAAGGAAUUGACGGGGGCCCGCACAAGCGGUGGAGCAUGUGGUUUAAUUCGAUGAUACGCGAGGAACCUUACCAGGGCUUAAAUGCAGGCUGCAUGGGGUAGAGAUACCCCUUUCUUCGGACUGCCUGCAAGGUGCUGCAUGGUUGUCGUCAGCUCGUGCCGUGAGGUGUCAGGUUAAGUCCUAUAACGAGCGCAACCC